UUUCGCUCGUUUUCGUCGCCUUGCUCGUUCUUCGCUGGUUGCGGGUGUCGCUGAGCCUUCGUAGACAUGUGAGAGAGUGUUUUGGAAGGAUUUUCGCAGCUCUGAACCAGUGAGGUGCUGGUUGGAAGCUUGAGCAGGUUCUCGAACCAUUUGGAGCUUAUUUGGUGACCUGGGAGGCUGGUUUAGAAGGUGUUCUAACCUGAGCGAGAGUGCGAACGAGCCUUCGAUCGUCGUUAGCUGACUUGUGAGAGCUCUUGGAGACUUAUCUUGAGCAGGAGUGGGGCUUCGUGGGGCUGAUUUUGGGACCCUUGUAAACUUAUUUGGAACCUAGUACGAGAGCCUGUUACAGGAGAGGCUAGGGAUCG